AGAAACUACAACACGUUGCACAAAAAGCAAGUCCAAGCUCAACUGUUCAGUAUGAUGGACGGGAACCGGGGCCAGCCCUCUGUGGUAUGGCGAGACCUCAACUGCUCCUGACAUCAGUGGGAUUUGAGACAGGUGCUGAAUGGACAGCGCAAGGCAGGAAGACAGAUUAUUCCAAAAGACCUGUUUUUCUUUAAAGAAAUGAAAAGAAAUUUGCUCGAAAAAGAAAACGAUUGCAACGGACCAUUCAGUUCCACGAGAUGAACGUUACAGAUGUCUCAUUCUGCGGUGAUCUGGUCUCCUCUGACACCUGCGAUGGCUGCUGCCUGUUUCAAGGUCCUCCAUUGUGAAGGUUCUGCCAGUGGUUUGGCAACCCAGCCUUUGUCAGAGCUGCUGCAAUGCAGGCAGCCUCUGGAAGCAAUAGAAAAGAACAGAGUUAUCAAGGCUAGAAACAGAAAGUACAGCAAGUCAUUUAGCUAUUUGGGCUUUAAUUGCAACGGUGUGUGUAAGAUUCCCCAUCUCCACCCCAUUAAGCCCUCGAGCAGCACACCUGCUACGUACUCAGGAGUCAGGUAUUUUUUGUGCAGCACCUUCUGACCUCCGUGAAAAUUGUAUAGAGCUCUGGAACUUACAGCAUAUGAUCAGUGUGCCACACAUGUGCCACUUUGAUGGAUGGAUGUACACUGAGCAAAUUGCAGGGCA